AGGAUGAUGUGUGCCGCUGAGGU
rnacentral:siRNA from 1 species